GUGGGGAAUCUUAGACAAUGGGGGCAACCCUGAUCUAGCCAUGCCGCGUGAGUGAUGAAGGCCUUAGGGUUGUAAAGCUCUUUCAGCUGGGAAGAUAAUGACUGUACCAGCAGAAGAAGCCCCGGCUAACUCCGUGCCAGCAGCCGCGGUAAUACGGAGGGGGCUAGCGUUGUUCGGAAUUACUGGGCGUAAAGCGCACGUAGGCGGACCAGCAAGUUAGGGGUGAAAUCCCGGGGCUCAACCCCGGAACUGCCCUUAAAACUGCGGGUCUGGAGUUCGAGAGAGGUGAGUGGAAUACCGAGUGUAGAGGUGAAAUUCGUAGAUAUUCGGUGGAACACCAGUGGCGAAGGCGGCUCACUGGCUCGAUACUGACGCUGAGGUGCGAAAGCGUGGGGAGCAAACAGGAUUAGAUACCCUUGUAGUCC
rnacentral:rRNA from 1 species